AUUGAACGCUGGCGGCAGGCUUAACACAUGCAAGUCGAGCGAGCGGGGGACGGGUGAGAUAUGUCUGGGAAUCUGCCUGAUGGGGGGGGAUAACUACUGGAAACUGUAGCUAAUACCGUAUACUAUCAGAUGUCCCGAUAUGGUUUUAGCUAGUAGGUGGUGUAAUGGCUCACCUAGGCGACGAUCCCUAGCUGGUCUGAGAGGAUGACAGGCCACACUGGAACUGAGACACGGUCCAGACUCCUACGGGAGGCAGCAGUGGGGAAUAUUGCACAAUGGGCGCAAGCCUGAUGCAGCCAUGCCGCGUGUGUGAAGAAGGCCUUCGGGUUGUAAAGCACUUUCAGCGAGGAGGCGUUACUCGCAGAAGAAGCACCGGCUAACUCCGUGCCAGCAGCCGCGGUAAUUC
rnacentral:rRNA from 1 species